AUAUAGUGGUUAGGAUUCCUGGCUUUCACCCAGGUGGCUCAGGUUCGAUUCCUGG
rnacentral:tRNA from 1 species